rnacentral:rRNA from 1 species
GACGAACGCUGGCGGCGUGCCUAAUACAUGCAAGUAGAACGCUGAAGACUUUAGCUUGCUAAAGUUGGAAGAGUUGCGAACGGGUGAGUAACGCGUAGGUAACCUGCCUACUAGCGGGGGAUAACUAUUGGAAACGAUAGCUAAUACCGCAUAACAGCAUUUAACCCAUGUUAGAUGCUUGAAAGGAGCAAUUGCUUCACUAGUAGAUGGACCUGCGUUGUAUUAGCUAGUUGGUGAGGUAACGGCUCACCAAGGCGACGAUACAUAGCCGACCUGAGAGGGUGAUCGGCCACACUGGGACUGAGACACGGCCCAGACUCCUACGGGAGGCAGCAGUAGGGAAUCUUCGGCAAUGGGGGCAACCCUGACCGAGCAACGCCGCGUGAGUGAAGAAGGUUUUCGGAUCGUAAAGCUCUGUUGUAAGAGAAGAACGUGUGUGAGAGUGGAAAGUUCACACAGUGACGGUAACUUACCAGAAAGGGACGGCUAACUACGUGCCAGCAGCCGCGGUAA